rnacentral:rRNA from 1 species
UACAGAGGUCUCAAGCGUUGUUCGGAUUCAUUGGGCGUAAAGGGUGCGUAGGCGGCGCGGUAAGUCGGGUGUGAAAUCUUGGAGCUUAACUCCGAAACUGCAUUCGAUACUGCCGUGCUUGAGGACUGGAGAGGAGACUGGAAUUUACGGUGUAGCGGUGAAAUGCGUAGAUAUCGUAAGGAACACCAGUGGCGAAGGCGGCUGCCUGGGCCUGGCCUGACGCUGAGGCGCGAAAGCGUGGGGAGCAAUCCGG